AGAAAGAGGCAUCUGUUGAAAGAUCAAGAAGGAUGCGCAUAAGCAGUAAGCAUCUAAGAUGAAGCAUAUGCUUGUAGUGCUCUAACAAUACGAAGAUUGUGAAUUAUCUUUGACAAAGCUAAUUAUCUUGUACAUUUGGAAGACCUUUCUUGUAGAAUGAGACAGUAAUUAGCAGCUCAGCUAGCAGCCAUGUGUGAUCAGACGUAAAUCUUUCUGCAUCUUUGCAUGAAUGAAUGAAGAACAUGGUACCAUCUUUGAAUGUUAACUAGCU
rnacentral:lncRNA from 1 species